rnacentral:rRNA from 1 species
GAUGAACGCUGGCGGCGUGCCUAAUACAUGCAAGUCGAGCGAACAGACGAGGAGCUUGCUCCUCUGACGGUAGCGGCGGACGGGUGAGUAACACGUGGAUAACCUACCUAUAAGACUGGGAUAACUUCGGGAAACCGGAGCGAAUACCGGAUAAUAUAUUGAACCGCAUGGUUCAAUAGUGAAAGACGGUUUUGCUGUCACUUAUAGAUGGAUCCGCGCCGCAUUAGCUAGUUGGUAAGGUAACGGCUUACCAAGGCGGCGAUGCGUAGCCGACCUGAGAGGGUGAUCGGCCACACUGGAGCUGCGACACGGUCCAGACUCCUACGGGAGGCAGCAGUAGGGAAUCUUCCGCAAUAGGCGAAAGCCUGCCGGAGCAACGCCGCGUGAGUGAUGAAGGUCUUCGGAUCGUUAAACUCUGUUAUUAGGGAAGAACAAAUGUGUAAGUAACUAUGCACGUCUUGACGGUACCUAGUCAGAAAGCCACGGCUAACUACGUG